AACGAACGCUGGCGGCAUGCCUAACACAUGCAAGUCGAACGAUUGCCUUCGGGUGAUAGUGGCGCACGGGUGCGUAACGCGUGGGAAUCUGCCCUUAGGUUCGGAAUAACAGCUGGAAACGGCUGCUAAUACCGGAUGAUAUCGCGAGAUCAAAGAUUUAUCGCCUGAGGAUGAGCCCGCGUUGGAUUAGGUAGUUGGUGGGGUAAAGGCCUACCAAGCCGACGAUCCAUAGCUGGUCUGAGAGGAUGAUCAGCCACACUGGGACUGAGACACGGCCCAGACUCGUACGGGAGGGAGCAGUGGGGAAUAUUGGACAAGGGGCGCAAGUCUGAUCCAGCAAUGCCGGGGGAGUGAUGAAGGCCCUAGGGUUGUAAAGCUCUUUUACCCGGGAAGAUAAUGACUGUACCGGGAGAAUAAGCCCCGGCUAACUCCGUG
rnacentral:rRNA from 1 species